rnacentral:rRNA from 1 species
UUCGCAAUGCCCGAAAGGGUGACGAAGCGACGCCGCGUGUGGGAAGAAGGCCUUCGGGUUGUAAACCACUGUCGGGAGUUAAGAAAUGCAAGAAUGUUAAUAGCGUUUUUGCUUGACUAAGGCUCCGGAGGAAGCCACGGCUAACUCUGUGCCAGCAGCCGCGGUAAUACAGAGGCGGCAAGCGUUGUUCGGAAUUAUUGGGCGUAAAGAGCACGUAGGCGGCUAUGUAAGUCGGUUGUGAAAACCUUCCGCUCAACGGGAGAACAGCAUCCGAUACUACAUGGCUUGAGUGCGGGAGGGGAGAGUGGAACUUCUGGUGGAGCGGUGAAAUGCGUAGAUAUCAGAAGGAACGCCGGCGGCGAAAGCGGCUCUCUGGCCCAUAACUGACGCUGAGUGUGCGAAAGCUAGGGGAGCAAACGGGAUUAGAUACCCCGGUAGUCCUAGCCGUAAAC